rnacentral:misc_RNA from 1 species
UACAGAGGGGGCGAGCGUUAUCCGGAUUUACUGGGCGUAAAGCGUGCGCAGGCGGCUUUUUAAGUCGGGUGUGAAAUCCCCGAGCUUAACUUGGGAAUUGCAUUCGAUACUGGGAAGCUAGAGGAUGGGAGAGGCUGGUAGAAUUCCAGGUGUAGCGGUGAAAUGCGUAGAGAUCUGGAGGAAUACCGAUGGCGAAGGCGGCCAUCUGGCCUAAUACUGACGCUGAGGUACGAAAGCAUGGGGAGCAAACAGG